GAUUAUGGCUCAGGAUGAACGCUAGCUACAGGCUUAACACAUGCAAGUCGAGGGGCAGCAUGAUCUGUGCUUGCACAGAUUGAUGGCGACCGGCGCACGGGUGAGUAACGCGUAUCCAACCUUCCCCUUAGUAGGGCAUAGCCCGGCGAAAGUCGGAUUAAUACCCUAUGUUUUCCAAUGAGGACAUCUGAGCUGGAAUAAAGAUUUAUCGCUAAGGGAUGGGGAUGCGUCCGAUUAGGUUGUUGGCGGGGUAACGGCCCACCAAGCCCUCGAUCGGUAGGGGUUCUGAGAGGAAGGUCCCCCACACUGGUACUGAGACACGGACCAGACUCCUACGGGAGGCAGCAGUGAGGAAUAUUGGUCAAUGGGCGAGAGCCUGAACCAGCCAAGUAAGCGUGCAGGAUGACGGCCCUAUGGGUUGUAAACUGCUUUUAUACGGGGAUAAAGUGAGGGACGUGUCCCUUAUUGUAGGUACCGUAUGAAUAAGGACCGGCUAAUUCCGUGCCAGCCGCAGC
rnacentral:rRNA from 1 species